GACUCCUCUCCACUCCCCAUUGCGUUUUUUUUCUGGGGUCUUCUUUGUCCGGCCAUAUCUUCCUCCACAGGUCUCCAAUCGACUUGAUUCCAAAAGCAAUUUUUCUCAUCUUGACGUCGUCUAUAACUUCUCAGAAGACAUCAGGGUGAAAAUGGAACUGUGGAGGGCGCUGUAAGGCCGAGAAGCUGCACAGCUCUAGUUGGAAAUCACCUCCCUUCACCGGCUGAUAUCUUCCGAUUCCGGCCACCUCCAGUGAUAAACCUUAGUCCAUUGGAAGCGUCUUGGGACGUAGAUGAUGCUCCCCGAAGCUUUUGCUGAGAUUUGAAGCGUGGAGGAAGAAUUGACGGUUUGAAGUUGGAGGUUACUAUUCACGAUUCGGGUUCAACCUUCCCCUUAAUUGUUGAGGGCGAUGUACCGAGCUAUUGCUCGACGAAGGAACUCGUAUGCGUGAUCGCCUGAAUAGUAUUUUUGCAGGCGAAAUUAGUUGAGGGGCGUACAUUGGAGUUGAGGCAUAGACAACAGCGUGGCUUUCGCGUUUUUAUUUGAUUUAGGUUUUCCUUGAUCAACCUUGCUAUUAGAUUUGCUCUGAUUACCUGAGGAAAUUAAUGUUAUUUAAGUUGUGUUUUGUG
rnacentral:lncRNA from 1 species